UGAUGAAGCCAUGAGAAUGUGAAUGCCACGGUUGACACCUCCAAGACAAGACACCCCGUGGUGCUCACCCCUGAUGAGAGCAACACUGUCCAAGGCACAAGUCAACCCUUGUUGCCUGAUGUAUGGUAAUGGUAUCAUAUCAUUCUGCUCCCUGUAUUGUACUAAUUCUCUGCCCACUGCCCUGGGUUGAAAGUUGAGACCUGCAAAGUGACCGCCUUUAAGCAAAAAGGAGGAGUUGAAAAGGUUGCAAGAUCUUGGUUAUAUUUCACGGGGCCAAUCCAUCCAUCCAUCCAUCCAUCCAUGGCCGCACUACUGUCUUCUCUUCUCCAGCAGACAGGUAAUAACUACCCCAGGCGUCCGAUCAACUUGCCUAGAUCCACUAGACGUUAUCAUCUUCGACCUAGGAGUAGAUAGCUAGUGGCUGACAAGCUGCACACCAGGUGCUCGAUCAUAUGUGUGGCAGAGGCCCACAUUCUCUUUCGCGCUGAGAGCGACAGUGUUUGGACAAUCAUUUGGUUUGGGAAUUGAGAACACAGGUGUCUUGUUGAGCAGGGAGGAGUGAAGAACAUGAAUUGCAUCUGGUAAUUAUGCUUCUUUUGGUUUUCGUCGAAAAAAGAAUGAUAUGCUUCAUGGGUUGUGUAUGAUGGUGUGCCCAGAUGAACGCAUUUGCCUUUCCCGUUCCCAUCACUCAGUUCAUCUGAUGAAUCUGCUUUAAUUUCUCCCAACAAGUGUCACUUCGUUACCCCUUUUUUUUUCUCCCCCUUCUUUAUUCGUUCAUUUCUGUUAUUGUCAGUUGGUGUUAAACAACAGGAAUGACUGCAUGUACAAAAUGCAGCUCCCAGAAAUGAAUAGUUCUUCAUUGAACUCGGCCAUUGUAAAAUCAGUACAAGAGCUUCUGCCUGCAAGAUAUACAGAGGUAUCAGCACAAUCUACAACUUUCCAAUUACUUGAAAGUUUUCAUGUUCCAAUAACUUUUGUACCGUUACAGUUAUGAAGAUACGACAAGCCGGAGCACGAGCCGGAGCAACCAGAGGAUCCCUGACUCACUCAUCAUUAUGAGCUUGAAUCCUAUGCUGUGUUAAGAUAAGUCAACAAAAGCUUCUCAUUAUCGAGCCCACUUACACUCUGCAAAUGGCAUGGCAUGUAGAGCAGACAGGACAUGUUUCUGCAUCGCCUAUCAUCGGCCUACUCCUUAAGCACUAAGGAAGAAAUCUGUACCAAAGGUUAAUUAUUCCAGUGACUUUUAUAUCAUGAUGGUUUUUAGAUAGGACAAGAUACUCCUGGGUGAAGAGCUAAUCGUUAUACGCUUGCUUUAAAUUUGCAUGCAAUUAGGCAAAGCCAAUCAUGGAGGAAUGGAACUUACUUAGGGGGCUAGCCGAUAUAUAGGUUUGCACUUUGUACUGAUGCGUAUAUUAGUAGAUAGUAACAUCCUUGUUACGAGAUGUCCUACUAAAGAAGAUGCAUGCAAGUGGUGAGCUUAUAAGCCAAAAAGCUAAGUGUCUUUCCAGUAAAGCUCCCCACAUUACAUGUAAAGAAGAGAUACUAAACAUUAUGUUAACAUGGAAUGUGAGGAGCUGUCGUUGCAUGGAGGAUCAAGAAUAAAGUGGCAUUUCUUUUCUAGGUUAUAUAGAAAGAUGGUACAAUUCGAUAGACUCUUAGGAGUCGGUGAGAAUUUUGAGGCACAUGUAGGUGCAGCAUGGAAUCGUAUGCACUGCUUCCACAUUUAUGUAAAGAGAUCUGAGUAACCAUAGGUAAUCCAACUUGUAGGUUUUUUUUGGGGGNNNNNNNGGAGGAGGAACGAAGCCCCCAGACUCUGCAACGAUUGAUGCAUGCAGCCAUAUUAUUAAUCAAGUACUCCCUCCGGUCCUUUUUACUCUGCAUAUUAGAUUUGGGUGAAGUCAAACUUUAUAAAGU
rnacentral:lncRNA from 1 species